rnacentral:lncRNA from 1 species
UUAAUUAUCAAUUAAUUGCCAUGUAUAUUUACAGUCAAUAUUUUUAUAAAUGACAUAAUUUUGUAAAUAUUUUUUAUCAAUAUUCGUGGAUUGAAAAUCUCAUGUGUUUGCAUUCCCUUGCCCACAUGAUUUGAACUCUAGACCUGCACAUUGGAAAUCUCAUUGGAAAUUUGACAAGGAAUUCUCCCACUCAUUCAUUCCCUUGCCCUCGAUGAAACUCUCCCACUCCUUCAUUGCCCACAUGAUUUGAACUCUAGACCUGCACAUUGGAUAAGAAGUAAUCUCCUAAUAAAUAAGCAAAUUCAUCGAGUGUUAAUACGUUUUAAUAAAUAUACCUUCAUAAUCUAACUUUUUAGUUUGUGAAACACUAAAGCAAUAGAUUGCAGCAUGAUGAAUAUUCCUUCAUUCUUAAUUAGAGGUGUUUUUGAAUAUUUUAAUAUGGAAUUACCUUUGUUAGAGAGCAAUUCAUCCUAAUGUGAAACUUUUUGGCGCGAAUCUG